UGGGGGAUAUUGCGCAAUGGGGGAAACCCUGACGCAGCAACGCCGCGUGAAGGAAGAAGGUCUUCGGAUUGUAAACUUCUUUUGUCAGGGACGAAGAAAGUGACGGUACCUGACGAAUAAGCUCCGGCUAACUACGUGCCAGCAGCCGCGGUAAUACGUAGGGAGCGAGCGUUGUCCGGAUUUACUGGGUGUAAAGGGUGCGUAGGCGGCCGAGCAAGUCAGUUGUGAAAACUAUGGGCUUAACCCAUAACGUGCAAUUGAAACUGUCCGGCUUGAGUGAAGUAGAGGUAGGCGGAAUUCCCGGUGUAGCGGUGAAAUGCGUAGAGAUCGGGAGGAACACCAGUGGCGAAGGCGGCCUACUGGGCUUUAACUGACGCUGAGGCACGAAAGCAUGGGUAGCAAACA
rnacentral:rRNA from 1 species